rnacentral:rRNA from 1 species
GAUGAACGCUCGCUACAGGCUUAACACAUGCAAGUCGCGGGGCAGCAUGGGGGUUGCUUGCAAUCCCCGAUGGCGACCGGCGCACGGGUGAGUAACGCGUAUCCAACCUGCCCUUCACCACGGGAUAACCCGGCGAAAGUCGGACUAAUACCGUAUGUUGUCCAUUGACGACAUCCGAUUUGGACGAAAGGCUUGGCGGUGAGGGAUGGGGAUGCGUCCGAUUAGCCAGACGGCGGGGUAACGGCCCACCGUGGCUACGAUCGGUAGGGGUUCUGAGAGGAAGGUCCCCCACACUGGAACUGAGACACGGUCCAGACUCCUACGGGAGGCAGCAGUGAGGAAUAUUGGUCAAUGGGCGUAAGCCUGAACCAGCCAAGUAGCGUGCAGGAUGACGGCCCUAUGGGUUGUAAACUGCUUUUAUGCGGGGAUAAAGUGGCCCACGUGUGGGCUUUUGCAGGUACCGCAUGAAUAAGGACCGGCUAAUUCCGUG